GGUUUCCUCCCACACUCCAAAGACAUACUGAUAUGAAACUUAGAUUGCGAGCUCCAUUGGAGACAGCAAGCAAUGAGAAUGUCCGUAAAGUGCCGCAGAAUACGUCAGCGCUAUAUAAGUGAAAUAAAAAAAUAAAUAAAAUCUAUUUCCGCUAACUUG